rnacentral:tRNA from 1 species
CCCCCUGUGGCUCAGUUGGUAGAGCAUGGUGUUUGCAACGCCAGGGUUGUGGGUUCGAUUCCCACGGGGGGC